rfam:Lepisosteus oculatus linkage group LG2, whole genome shotgun sequence.
GCUCCAGUGGCGCAAUCGGUUAGCGCGCGGUACUUAUAUGGCAGUACUCUGCAGAGCGAUGCCGAGGUUGUGAGUUCGAGCCUCACCUGGAGCA